rnacentral:rRNA from 1 species
UAGGGAAUCUUCCGCAAUGGACGCAAGUCUGACGGAGCAACGCCGCGUGAGUGAAGAAGGAUUUCGGUUCGUAAAACUCUGUUGUUAGAGAAGAACAGCGCAUAGAGUAACUGUUAUGCGUGUGACGGUAUCUAACCAGAAAGCCACGGCUAACUACGUGCCAGCAGCCGCGGUAAUACGUAGGUGGCAAGCGUUGUCCGGAUUUAUUGGGCGUAAAGCGAGCGCAGGCGGUCAAUUAAGUCUGAUGUGAAAGCCCCCGGCUCAACCGGGGAGGGUCAUUGGAAACUGGAAAACUUGAGUGCAGAAGAGGAAAGUGGAAUUCCAUGUGUAGCGGUGAAAUGCGCAGAGAUAUGGAGGAACACCAGUGGCGAAGGCGACUUUCUGGUCUGUAACUGACGCUGAGGCUCGAAAGCGUGGGGAGCGAACAGG